GAUGAACGCUGGCGGCGUGCCUAAUACAUGCAAGUCGAGCGAACAGAUGAGGAGCUUGCUCCUCUGACGUUAGCGGCGGACGGGUGAGUAACACGUGGAUAACCUACCUAUAAGACUGGGAUAACUUCGGGAAACCGGCGCUAAUACCGGAUAAUAUAUUGAACCGCAUGGUUCAAUAGUGAAAGACGGCUUUGCUGUCACUUAUAGAUGGAUCCGGGCUGCAUUAGCUAGUUGGUAGGGUAACGGCUUAUCAAGGCAACGAUGCGUAGCCGACCUGAGAGAGUGAUCGGCCACAUUGGAGCUGAGACACGGUCCAGACUCCUACGGGAGGCAGCAGUAGGGAAUCUUCCGCAAUGGGCGAAAGCCUGACGGAGCAGCGCCGCGUGAGUGAUGAAGGUCUUCGGAUCGUAAAACUCUGUUAUUAGGGAAGAACAAAUGUGUAAGGAACUAUGCACGUCUUGACGGUACCUAAUCAGAAAGCCACGGCUAACUACGUG
rnacentral:rRNA from 1 species